UUGGAAGAUUUCUGGGAGCCAGAGGGAAGGAAGAGAGAGAGGGGAGAGGAUGACCAGCCCCCAGCCCCAGCAGCAGUCUCCUGGACCAAAGACCCUCUGUGCAGCAGUGAGGACCAAUGGGAGAAAUGCUGCCAGGCUACAAGACCAGCCUAGGCCUGUCAGGAGGCCAGACAACCUGUAAAGCAGCCACGACCAGGCCCUUAAAAGGAUCUUCACCUCCCUCCUACGUGGCCGGCAAGCUUCUUCCCCACAAACCCCUGCUUCAGAAGAGACCACCCCCCCACCCCAAACUGUUCAUCUGAGGGAUGUUUCUGUACCUUCCAACAUGAUCUGAACAGCCCACAAAAGAAACAGGAUGAAGAGUCAAACUUACCUCACCAAGA